GAUGAACGCUAGCGACAGGCUUAACACAUGCAAGUCGAGGGGCAGCACAGGUAGCAAUACCGGGUGGCGACCGGCGCACGGGUGAGUAACGCGUAUGCAACUUACCUAUCAGAGGGGGACAACCCGGCGAAAGUCGGACUAAUACCGCAUGAAGCAGGGGCCCCGCAUGGGGAUAUUUGCUAAAGAUUCAUCGCUGAUAGAUAGGCAUGCGUUCCAUUAGGCAGUUGGCGGGGUAACGGCCCACCAAACCGACGAUGGAUAGGGGUUCUGAGAGGAAGGUCCCUCACAUUGGUACUGAGACACGGACCAAACUCCUACGGGAGGCAGCAGUGAGGAAUAUUGGUCAAUGGGCGUAAGCCUGAACCAGCCAAGUCGCGUGAGGGAUGAAGGUUCUAUGGAUCGUAAACCUCUUUUAUAAGGGAAUAAAGUGCGGGACGUGUCCCGU
rnacentral:rRNA from 1 species